rnacentral:rRNA from 1 species
AUUGAACGCUGGCGGUAUGCUUAACACAUGCAAGUCGAACGGUAGCAGGCCUUCGGGCGCUGACGAGUGGCGGACGGGUGAGUAACGCGUAGGAAUCUGCCUCAUAGUGGGGGACAACGUGGGGAAACUCACGCUAAUACCGCAUACGCCCUACGGGGAAAGCGGGGGAUCUUCGGACCUCGCGCUAUGAGAUGAGCCUGCGUUAGAUUAGCUAGUUGGUAGGGUAAAGGCCUACCAAGGCGACGAUCUAUAGCUGGUCUGAGAGGACGAUCAGCCACACUGGGACUGAGACACGGCCCAGACUCCUACGGGAGGCAGCAGUGGGGAAUAUUGGACAAUGGGCGCAAGCCUGAUCCAGCAAUACCGCGUGUGUGAAGAAGGACCUUAGGGUUGUAAAGCACUUUCAAUUGGGAGGAAAAACCUGUCGGUCAAUACCCGGCAGCUUGACAUUACCUUAG